AGUGAACGCUGGCGGUAGGCCUAACACAUGCAAGUCGAACGGCAGCACAGUAAGAGCUUGCUCUUACGGGUGGCGAGUGGCGGACGGGUGAGGAAUACAUCGUAAUCUACUUUUUCGUGGGUGAUAACGUAGGGAAACUUACGCUAAUACCGCAUACGACCUACGGUUGAAAGCAUGGGAUCUUCGGACCUUGCGCGUUUGAUUGAGCCGAUGUCGGAUUAGCUAGUUGGCGGGGUAAAGGCCCACCAAGGCGACGAUCCGUAGCUGGUCUGAGAGGAUGAUCAGAGACACUGGAACUGAGACACGGUCCAGAAUCCUACGGGAGGCAGCAGUGGGGAAUAUUGGACAAUGGGCGAAAGCCUGAUACAGAAAUACCGCGUGGGUGAAGAAGGCCUUAGGGUUGUAAAGCCCUUUUGUUGGGAAAGAAAAGAAGCAGGUUAAUACCACGAUGUUCUGACGGUACCCAAAGAAUAAGCACCGGCUAACUUCGUG
rnacentral:rRNA from 1 species